GAUGAACGCUGGCGGCGUGCCUAAUACAUGCAAGUCGAGCGAACGGACGAGAAGCUUGCUUCUCUGAUGUUAGCGGCGGACGGGUGAGUAACACGUGGAUAACCUACCUAUAAGACUGGGAUAACUUCGGGAAACCGGAGCUAAUACCGGAUGAUAUUUUGAACCGCAUGGUUCAAAAGUGAAAGACGGUCUUGCUGUCACUUAUAGAUGGAUCCGCGCUGCAUUAGCUAGUUGGUAAUGUAACGGCUUACCAAGGCAACGAUGCAUAGCCGACCUGAGAGGGUGAUCGGCCACACUGGAACUGAGACACGGUCCAGACUCCUACGGGAGGCAGCAGUAGGGAAUCUUCCGCAAUGGGCGAAAGCCUGACGGAGCAACGCCGCGUGAGUGAUGAAGGUCUGCGGAUCGUAAAACUCUGUUAUUAGGGAAGAACAUAUGUGUAAGUAACUGUGCACAUCUGGACGGUACCUAAGCAGAAAGCCACGGCUAACUACGU
rnacentral:rRNA from 1 species